rnacentral:rRNA from 1 species
UACAGAGGCCACAAGCGUUAGGCGGAAUCACUGGGCUUAAAGCGUGUGUAGGCGGGAUGGUAAGUACUUUGUGAAAUCCCACGGCUUAACCGUGGAAUUGCUUGGUAUACUGCCGUUCUUGAGUCAUCUAGGGGCAGCCGGAACAGAUGGUGGAGCGGUGAAAUGCGCAGAUAUCAGGAGGAACACCCAUAGCGAAGGCAGCUUGCUGGGACGUUACUGACGCUAAGGCGCGAAAGCGUGGGGAGCGAACAGG